rnacentral:rRNA from 1 species
AUGCACGCUGGCGGCGUGCCUCAUACCUGCAAGUCGAGCGCACGGACGAGAAGCUUGCUUCUCUGAUGUUAGCGGCGGACGGGUGAGUAACACGUGGAUAACCUACCUAUAAGACUGGGAUAACUUCGGGAAACCGGAGCUAAUACCGGAUAAUAUUUUGAACCGCAUGGUUCAAAAGUGAAAGACGGUCUUGCUGUCACUUAUAGAUGGAUCCGCGCUGCAUUAGCUAGUUGGUAAGGUAACGGCUUACCAAGGCAACGAUGCAUAGCCGACCUGAGAGGGUGAUCGGCCACACUGGAACUGAGACACGGUCCAGACUCCUACGGGAGGCAGCAGUAGGGAAUCUUCCGCAAUGGGCGAAAGCCUGACGGAGCAACGCCGCGUGAGUGAUGAAGGUCUUCGGAUCGUAAAACUCUGUUAUUAGGGAAGAACAUAUGUGUAAGUAACUGUGCACAUCUUGACGGUACCCAAUCAGAAAGCCACGGCUAACUACGUG